rnacentral:sRNA from 24 species
CAAGAAUCGCUUUAGUAUUCCAAAACUGUUUAAAAAACGAUCACAAGGCACUGGACGGUACGCCAUGCUGGGCAAUACUUAAGCCACUGACGGGUCAUCAUUCCCCAAAUGACUCGCCAGUAAAGGUGCCUAAGGACUAGCGUGCCUUUGUUUUACUCCUAAUGGUCUUAACCCGGCUUCACCCCCCCAGAAUCCGG